rnacentral:rRNA from 1 species
GAAGCUAAUACCGGAUAUGACGUACGGAGGCAUCUCCUGUGCGUGGAAAGAAUUUUGGUCAAGGAUGGACUCGCGGCCUAUCAGGUAGUUGGUGAGGUAACGGCUCACCAAGCCUACGACGGGUAGCCGGCCUGAGAGGGUGACCGGCCACACUGGGACUGAGACACGGCCCAGACUCCUACGGGAGGCAGCAGUGGGGAAUAUUGCACAAUGGGCGCAAGCCUGAUGCAGCAACGCCGCGUGAGGGACGACGGCCUUCGGGUUGUAAACCUCUUUUAGUAGGGAAGAAGCGAAAGUGACGGUACCUGCAGAAAAAGCACCGGCUAACUACGUGCCAGCAGCCGCGGUAAUACGUAGGGUGCAAGCGUUGUCCGGAAUUAUUGGGCGUAAAGAGCUCGUAGGCGGUUUGUCGCGUCUGCUGUGAAAACCCGAGGCUCAACCUCGGGCCUGCAGUGGGUACGGGCAGACUAGAGUGCGGUAGGGGAGAAUGGAAUUCCUGGUGUAGCGGUGGAAUGCGCAGAUAUCAGGAGGAACACCGAUGGCGAAGGCAGUUCUCUGGGCCGUAACUGACGCUGAGGAGCGAAAGCGUGGGGAGCGAACAGGAUUAGAUACCCUGGUAGUCCACGCCGUAAACGUUGGGCGCUAGAUG